rnacentral:lncRNA from 1 species
CUGCGCAUGCGCGCGCCCCAGGGCCCAGCCCUGUUCCUGCUCCGGCUCCUGCGGGGAUGGAUGCUUCACGCAGUAAGCGACCUAAGUCGCGGAAGCGUAGACACCCGGCUUUUCCCGCGUGCUCUAUCGGGCUCCCCUGGACACGGAGGGUGGAGCAGAAAGAGCAGAGGGGCCGGUGGGAGCCAUGGGGAGUCCGCCUAGCUCCAGAGAAGGGGCUGUCCGAAAUAGAGACUGCUCCUUCAGCCUGGACCCAACUGCGAAGAAGCCACAUGGAACAGAGCUGCAGCUAACCUGAAGUCUGUGUGAACUGAGUGCAAGAGACAAAUGUUUGCCACUGGAAAUCACGGAGAUCUGGGGAUCAUUUGUUACUGCAGCCUCUAGCAGAAGCUGACUGAUACACAGAGGGAAUUGGGUGCUGGGUGGGUGGAAACAGUAUAUAUGCCCCAGAGAGGCCAACUCCAAAAGCUGUGUGAAUUCAGAGAGAAACACCCAUGGCUUAAGGCUUGAAACAAGAGGCAGGAGGUUGGGGGAUAUUGGUUUUUGGUGAACUUACUGGGCUUGCUGAGGCAGAGCAACACCUGUUUCUCUGGGCCAUUACUACAAAGGUCAGAUUGCGAGUCUUGUCCUAGAUUCAGCCUUCUUUGAGAGUUUUCCUUAAGACACAGUUUGAGCAGAUUACUUUCUUGCUUAGAAUCCCUCAGUAGGUCCCCACUGCCCCAGGAUAAAGUCUAGACCCCCAAGCACGUCCUGCACGGCCUUGCUGACAUGUCUGAGUCUGGGCAUUGUACUAGUGAGCCACAAAGUGUGCAGGUCCUGGUGCCCACCCCAUCUCCACUGCUGCCCAGGGCGCAAAUCCACAUCACCCCUUAGCUGGACUAGGGCUAGUGCCUCCUAACUGGAAGGAUUCCACUCAGCUCCCUUCUAAUCCACCGUCCACCCAGCCACUUCUCAAAUGUAAACCCAGUCUUGUUGCCAUCCUACUGUCACGUAUACAAUAAAAUCCAAACUCAUUCUGGAGUGGGUGGGGCGGCUUGUAUUUUCCAAAACUGACCACAUUUGUAUUCUCUUCUUACAAUGUGAUGCUGACACUCCUCCCAUGGAGGGGGCUCUGUGUCCCCUCCCCUCAUUGUGGGUGGGCUUGUGACUAUGGUGAAAAAGACACUCCUGAGGCGAGAUCAUGAGAGGUGACAUGACUUCCUCCUGGCUGUCUUGGGACAUGCACUCCUGG